UUACGACUAUAUCACGAUGAAACACGGGUUCCCAUACGAACACAGAAGUUAAGCAACGUCGAGCCUGGUUAGUAUCUAGAUGGGUGAUCGCUUGGGAAUUCCACGAGCAGUA